GAUUUGGGGGCUGUGACAGGGGUGUUUGCCCAUAUGACGACGGGGCCUGUGGCCUGGAUACCCGGGCAGGUGACGAUGAGGUUCAGAAACCAGAUCUCAUGGGGCGUCCGGCAGCUGAGUCUCAGGCCAGCUCUGCAGUGAGUGUGGUGUCCCAGGCCUGGAACACUCUGGUACCAUCUGGAUGCCAUGCUGGGUGCGCCCAGGAGCUCUGGGUUUGAAACAGAGGUCAGAGGUCACUGACAUGUGGAGGAGCCUCCGGAGAGUGGGUGACAGAGCCUCAGGUGUCAGGCUUGGCGGGAGGCUUUGCAGGGCUGAGCGGAUGGGGAGGAAAGGCAGGGAGUGUGGCUGCCAGAGGGCAGAGGGGGAGGCUGGGACUGGGCGAAACUGCUUGCAGGAGACACCCGAGGAAACUGGCAGGGCUGCGGGCACUCCUGGGAGCAGGAGGAGGGCGGCCUGUCCUGGGCAGACCAGGCUCUCCGGCCUUUGUGGCCCCAGCUCCCUGAGCCCAGAGGGAGGCCAGGGCAGGAAGGCCCAGACCAGGGAGGACCCAGCCCCCAGGUCAGAACCUCCCAAGGACGCACAAGGCCAGGCAGCUGAGGAUGGGACCGUUCUCUGCAUCUGCAGGGAGGAUGGAGGUGGCCAUGGCAGCAAGGGAACAGGGCCGAGGGGAGGCCAGCCCAGGGAGGAUGUUGGCGGCCAUGGACGCCCGUUCAGUGUCCUAAAGGAGGACGCCCCGAGCUUUGUCAGCCUGGGCAGCCUGAGACCCCAGCGAGACCUGCAGAACAUUACAGCAAAGUGAAGGAGAGCCAGAGGAAGAGGCAGAUGGGCUGUCCUGUAAACAGUCUGAUUUCCAAUGUAAACCAGAUUCGGGCCCACGACAUCAGGUAAACAUCUGCAUCUGAGCCCCCGGCCCCCCACCGCCCGGGAGGCCCCGGGGUCCACAUGGCCGACUCUGGGACCCGUCACAGUGACCGCCGAGACAUUUCGUAAUUGGGCAAAAUUGAUCCUUGCAUUCCUUCCCUAAAUCCCAAAUCUCUGCAAUUUUACUUCUUCUCAAAAAUGAAAACAUUUGGCAAUUAGCUGAUCCAAGUGAAAAAGGUAGAGAAUGUUCUCUCAACUGGAAAAUGCCAAUUAAGGAAGCGGCCCUGACUUCCCACCGCCCUGGCUAAGCUGGGAGCUUAUCUUCCCCGGGAGGAAUCUGCUGGGAUAAGGGGCUUGGGAAACACGGAGGGCAGGGCUGCCUCUGCAGCUUCCUCUGAGAGCAGAUUAGCCGUGGCCUUGCGCCAGCAGGGCCUGGGUGCCACACGGGGUGGCGGGGGGCGGCAGAGCUGUGGCGCUGGGAUUUGGGGUGGUGGGACCCAACGAGGCACAGGCUUGUGGGCGGCACGGAGGGCGGUGACAUAGGCAGUGGGUGCCCGUGUCUGUCCCCGGCUCUCCGGGCUCCCCGCCCUGCUCCUGCAGCCCUGGACCUCAGGGCCCAUUUUCGGUGCCAGGGGGCUCUUGUCUGGUCUCCACUCCUCCACAUUUAUUUAUUGAAAAUGCUGAUUUGUUUGUUUUCUGGUAUUGCACUUAUUUGUUCUAGAUGUCUGUCUAUUUAUUGAAUUAAUUUUUAAAUGU